ensembl:snRNA Gm26176 predicted gene, 26176
GUGCUCGCUUCGGCAGCACAUAUACUAAAAUUGGAACAAUACAGAGAAGAUUAGCCUGGCCUCUGCGCAACGAUGACACGCACAAUUUGUGAAGCGUUCCAUAUUUCA